rnacentral:tRNA from 1 species
GCCACCGUAGCUCAGUUGGUAGAGCAGCUCAUUCGUAAUGAGCGGGUCGGAGGUUCAAGUCCUCUCGGUGGCUCUA